rnacentral:rRNA from 1 species
UGCAGUCGUACGAGAAGCCUCUUCGGAGGUGAGUAAAGUGGCGCACGGGUGAGUAACGCGUGGGUAAUCUGCCCUUAGGUUUGGGAUAACCCCGGGAAACCGGAGCUAAUACCGAAUGAGACCACGAUGACUUCGGUCGAUGUGGGAAAAGGUGGCCUCUUCUUGAAAGCUACCGCCGAAGGAUGAGCCCGCGUUUGAUUAGCUUGUUGGUGAGGUAAAGGCUCACCAAGGCUCCGAUCAAUAGCUGGUCUGAGAGGACGAUCAGCCACACUGGAACUGAGACACGGUCCAGACUCCUACGGGAGGCAGCAGUCGGGAAUAUUGGGCAAUGGGCGAAAGCCUGACCCAGCAACGCCGCGUGAAGGAUGAAGGCCUUCGGGUCGUAAACUUCUGUCGAGAGGGAAGAAUUGCGUACGGUUAAUAUCCGUGCGUUUGACGGUACCUCCAAAGGAAGCACCGGCUAACUCCGUG